rnacentral:rRNA from 1 species
UGGGGAAUAUUGGACAAUGGGCGAAAGCCUGAUCCAGCCAUGCCGCAUGAGUGAAGAAGGCCUUUGGGUUGUAAAGCUCUUUUAGUGAGGAAGAUAAUGACGGUACUCACAGAAGAAGUCCCGGCUAACUCCGUGCCAGCAGCCGCGGUAAUACGGAGAGGGCUAGCGUUAUUCGGAAUUAUUGGGCGUAAAGGGCGCGUAGGCUGGUUAAUAAGUUAAAAGUGAAAUCCCGAGGCUUAACCUUGGAAUUGCUUUUAAAACUAUUAAUCUAGAGAUUGAAAGAGGAUAGAGGAAUUCCUGAUGUAGAGGUAAAAUUCGUAAAUAUUAGGAGGAACACCGGUGGCGAAGGCGUCUAUCUGGUUCAAAUCUGACGCUGAAGCGCGAAGGCGUGGGGAGCAAACA